rnacentral:rRNA from 1 species
UGAGGAAUAUUGGUCAAUGGGCGGAAGCCUGAACCAGCCAAGUCGCGUGAGGGAAGACGGCCCUACGGGUUGUAAACCUCUUUUGCCGGGGAGCAAUGCCCAGCUCGCGAGCUGGGAAGGAGAGUACCCGGAGAAAAAGCAUCGGCUAACUCCGUGCCAGCAGCCGUGGUAAUAGUGUACU